ensembl:lncRNA
AUACCUGCCUAUGUCCUAGGUAGCCUGAAAUGCCUGCUAUGAGCACACUGAAGGCAAAUGGAUCAGACUGAGGAUGGUAUGCUGCUGGAAGAUACAGAUCAGAAGCAGUCAUCUUCUGUGGGCUGGAAAGUGAGAACUGUAACAGUAUAAAAACCAUUUGUAGGCUUUCUGUGCUCAUCUCCUUUAUCCUCAGGGUUGUUUUGAUGUGCUUUUUCCCCCCUUGUUGAUGUUUUCUUGCCUAGGUACCUCUACAGUACCAAAUCAUUAUUUUUAUAUUGUUAUACCAAAAUGCUCUUUCCUAUAUGCAGUGGACCUGCCAGAAUGAGAAGAUAUGCCAGGCUUUAAUGGAAUGAUGCUUUGCAAGAAAAUACAGAGAAUUUUUUUUUUAAGCAUCACAAGUACGUUUGUGCUGAAUAGUUGUAGCAAAAAGAAAAAAAAAUACUACCAGCAUCUACAGCAGUUGAACAUUUCAUGAUCAAUAUUUAGCAUAUGAAUAAUGUUUUAAUUACUGUCAUUUGUUCCUAUUCUUGAAAAGAAAGAGGUAUUUGUUUAUGCUUUAAAUCAAAAAGAUGAAUUUGUUUGUUUCUCAUUUGUCCUGUGUGCAUCAGUGUGUUUGAUGAGAAUACUGGUAAGAUCCAGGUGUCUUAAUCUGCUUUGUCCUUUACAUUACAUGCUCUUUAAUAAAUGUUUAUCUUAAUAGAA